rnacentral:rRNA from 1 species
UACGAAGGGGGCUAGCGUUGUUCGGAAUUACUGGGCGUAAAGGGCGCGUAGGCGGUGUGUCAAGUCAGGCGUGAAAGCCCCGGGCUCAACCUGGGAACCGCGCUUGAGACUGGCACGCUCGAGUUCGGGAGAGGAUGGUGGAAUUCCCAGUGUAGAGGUGAAAUUCGUAGAUAUUGGGAAGAACACCGAUGGCGAAGGCAGCCAUCUGGACCGACACUGACGCUGAGGCGGCGAAAGCGUGGGGAGCAAACAGGG